GAUGAACGCUGGCGGCGUGCCUAAUACAUGCAAGUCGAGCGAACAGACGAGGAGCUUGCUCCUCUGACGUUAGCGGCGGACGGGUGAGUAACACGUGGAUAACCUACCUAUAAGACUGGGAUAACUUCGGGAAACCGGAGCUAAUACCGGAUAAUAUAUUGAACCGCAUGGUUCAAUAGUGAAAGACGGUUUUGCUGUCACUUAUAGAUGGAUCCGCGCCGCAUUAGCUAGUUGGUAAGGUAACGGCUUACCAAGGCGACGAUGAGUAGCCGACCUGAGAGGGUGAUCGGCCACACUGGAACUGAGACACGGUCCAGACUCCUACGGGAGGCAGCAGUAGGGAAUCUUCCGCAAUGGGCGAAAGCCUGACGGAGCAACGCCGCGUGAGUGAUGAAGGUCUUCGGAUCGUAAAACUCUGUUAUUAGGGAAGAACACAUGUGUAAGUAACUAUGCACGUCUUGACGGUACCUAAUCAGAAAGCCACGGCUAACUACGUG
rnacentral:rRNA from 1 species